rnacentral:rRNA from 1 species
AUUGAACGCUGGCGGCAGGCUUAACACAUGCAAGUCGAGCGAGCGGCGGACGUGUGACUAAUGUCUGGGAAACUGCCUGAUGGAGGGGGCUAACUACUGGAAACGGUAGCUAAUACCGCAUACCAUCAGAUGGUCCCAUAUGUGAGUUGCUAGUGGGUGGGGUAAUGGCUCACCUAGGCGACGAUCCCUAGCUGGACUGAGAGGAUGACCAGCCACACUGGAACUGAGACACGGUCCAGACGCCUACGUGAGGCAGCAGUGGGGAAUAUUGCACAAUGGGCGCAAGCCUGAUGCAGCCAUGCCGCGUGUGUGAAGAAGGCCUUCGGAUUGUAAAGCACUUGCAGCGAGGAGGCGUGAAACGAAGAAGAAGCACCGGCUAACUCCGUGCCAGCAGCCGCGGUAAUAG